CUUCACUGCAACUUGGCAGUGAACUUCGGGAUGUUCUGCGUAGGAUAGGUGGGAGGCGUUGAGGCUGGGCUUCCGGGCUCGGCGAAGCCGUUGUUGAAAUACCACCCUGAACAUUCUGGGGUUCUAACCUGCGACCAUGAACUGGUCGGGGGACACUGCCUGGUGGGCAGUUUGACUGGGGCGGUCGCCUCCCAAAAUGUAACGGAGGCGUGCGAAGGUCCCCUCAGCCUGAUUGGAAACCAGGCGUAGAGUGCAAACGCAGAAGGGGGCUUAACUGUGAGACCGACAGGUCGAACAGGUGCGAAAGCAGGCGUUAGUGAUCCGGUGGUUCUGUAUGGAAGGGCCAUCGCUCAUCGGAUAAAAGGUA
rnacentral:rRNA from 1 species